UACGGAGGUGGCAAGCGUUGCUCGGAAUCACUGGGCUUAAAGGGCGCGUAGGCGGGUUUGCAAGUCCGGGGUGAAAUCCCACAGCUCAACUGUGGAACUGCCUCGGAUACUGUGAGUCUCGAGGGUGGCAGGGGUAUGCGGAACUAUCGGUGGAGCGGUGAAAUGCGUUGAUAUCGAUAGGAACUCCGGUGGCGAAGGCGGCAUACUGGUCCACUUCUGACGCUGAGGCGCGAAAGCCAGGGGAGCAAACGGG
rnacentral:rRNA from 1 species